CCUACGGGUGGCAGCAGUGGGGAAUAUUGCACAAUGGGCGAAAGCCUGAUGCAGCAACGCCGCGUGAGCGAUGAAGGCCUUCGGGUCGUAAAGCUCUGUUCUCAAGGAAGAUGAUUCCGGUACUUGAGGAGGAAGCACCGUCUAACUACGUGCCACCAGCCGCGGUAAUACGUCGGGGGCUAGCGUUAUCCGGAAGUACUGGGCGAAAAGAGUGCGUAGGUGGUUUCUUAAGUCAGAGGUGAACGGCUACGGCUCAACCGUAGUAAGCCGUUGAAACUGGGAAACUUGAGUGCAGGAGAGGAGAGCGGAAUUCCUAGUGUAGCGGUGAAAUGCGUAGAUAUUAGGAGGAACACCAGUGGCGAAGGCGGCUCUCUGGACUGUAACUGACACUGAGGCACGAAAGCGUGGGGAGCAAACAGGAUUAGAUACCCUAGUAGUC
rnacentral:rRNA from 1 species